rnacentral:rRNA from 1 species
AGAGAGAGUUAAGAGGACGUGAAACCGAUGAGGGGGAAACGGACAGAGCUGGCGUAUCUGGCUUGCAUUCAGCCGUUGCGCGUCGGGCCCCGGUUUGCCGCACUCCAGAUUGGGAAGGUGGCUGGGCCGCUGGCGUGUCAGUGGUGCAUUUGCAGGUGGAGUGCGCCGAGGCGCUCGGUUCAGCGGCAUGAGCUCAGCCUUGAGGCCAACCGUGCAAGCGGUCUGGUACCCGGGCUGGGGGAGUGUUGUUUGGUCUGCGUGUUCGCUUGGGCAAUGCUUUCGGGCCCGGGUGGGUGCCGAGCUGGCGGUCGGCGGCGGUCGCGUGCGACACGUGCCAGCAGUCAGUUCGGUCCUGCUCGAGCUCUCAUCUGUCCGGCCUCGGUGUAAAAGCCGGUCAUCUGUCCGACCCGUCUUGAAACACGGACCAAGGAGUUUAGCGUGUGCGCGAGUCAUUGGGCGUUGAAAACCCAAAGGCGCAAUGAAAGUGAAGGUCUGCCUUGUGCAGCUGAUGUGUGAUCCUGGGCGCUGCGGUGCCCGGGCGCAACAUAGUCCCGUCCCGACUGCAUGCAGUUGCUGCGGAGACAGAGCGUACGCGCUGAGACCCGAAAGAUGGUGAACUAUUCCUGAGCAGGAUGAAGCCAGAGGAAACUCUGGUGGAAGUCCGAAGCGAUUCUGACGUGCAAAUCGAUCGUCUGACUUGGGUAUAGGGGCGAAAGACUAAUCGA